CGGUAAUUCCAGCUCCAAUAGCGUAUACUAAAGUUGUUGCAGUUAAAAAGCUCGUAGUUGGAUUUCUGCGGGGACGGAGCGGCCGGACGCAACUUGCGUCUCGAGCUAGCGCUUUCCCCGCAUCCUGCCGCGAACCGUGCUACCAUUAGCUUGGUGGCGCUGGGGAUCGGCUCGAUUACUUUGAGAAAAAUAGAGUGUUCAAAGCAGGCCACACGCCUUGAAUAAGUUAGCAUGGAAUAAUGACUAAGGACUUCGGUUCUAUUUUGUUGGUGUUCGGGACUGAAGUAAUGAUUGAUAGGGACAGUUGGGGCGGUCUGUAUUCCAAAGCGAGAGGUGAAAUUCUUAGACCUUCGGAAGACAAACAGCUGCGAAAGCGUUCCGCAAGGAUGUUCCCUUUGAUCAAGAACGAAAGUUGGGGGAUCGAAGACGAUCAGAUACCGUCGUAGUCUCAACUAUAAACUAUACCAGCUAGGGAUCGGUCAACGUUUAAUCAUUCGACUUGAUCGGCACCUUAUGAGAAAUCAAAGCAUCUGGGUUCCGGGGGGAGUAUGGUCGCAAGGCUGAAACUUAAAGGAAUUGACGGAAGGGCACCACCAGCCGUGGAGCCUGUGGCUUAAUUUGACUCAACACGGGAAAACUUACCAGGUCCAGACAUAGUAAGGAUUGACAGAUUGAUAGCUCUUUCUUGAUUCUGUGGGUGGUGGUGCAUGGCCGUUCUUAGUUGGUGGAGUGAUUUGUCUGGUUAAUUCCGUUAACGAACGAGACCCCAGCCUGCUAAAUAGCGCGGUUGAGCUUUGCUCGAUGCGAGCUUCUUAGAGGGACUAUGAUGCGCGAUAGCACAUGGAAGUUUGGGGCAAUAACAGGUCUGUGAUGCCCUUAGAUGUUCUGGGCCGCACACGGGCUACACUGGCGCCUGCAUCGAGCAUAUCAGCUGGCCCGAGAGGGUCUUGGCUAAUCUUUUGAACCGGCGCCGUGCUUGGGAUUGACCUUUGCAAUUGUUGGUCAUGCAACGAGGAAUGCCUUGUAAACGCGAGUCAUCAGCUCGCAUUGAAUACGUCCCUGCCCCUUGUACACACCGCCC
rnacentral:rRNA from 1 species